GAUGAAGAACGCAGUGAAAUGCGAUAAUUAAUGUGAAUUGCAGAAUUCAGUGAAUCAUCGAGUCUUUGAACGCACAUUGCGCCCCCUGGUAUUCCGGGGGGCAUGCCUGUCCGAGCGUCAUUGCUGCCCUCAAGCACGGCUUGUGUGUUGGGCUUCCGUCCCUGGCAACGGGGACGGGCCCAAAAGGCAAUGGCGGCACCAUGUCUGGUCCUCGAGCGUAUGGGGCUUUGUCACCCGCUCCCGUAGGUCCAGCUGGCAGCUAGCCUCGCAACCAAUCUUUUUAACCAGGUUGACCUCGGAUCAGGUAGGGAUACCCGCUGAACUUAAGCAUAUCAAUAAGCGGAGGA
rnacentral:misc_RNA from 1 species